UAAUACAUGCAGUCGAGCGGACAGAUGGGAGCUUGCUCCCUGAUGUUAGCGGCGGACGGGUGAGUAACACGUGGGUAACCUGCCUGUAAGACUGGGAUAACUCCGGGAAACCGGGGCUAAUACCGGAUGCUUGAUUGAACCGCAUGGUUCAAUUAUAAAAGGUGGCUUUUAGCUACCACUUACAGAUGGACCCGCGGCGCAUUAGCUAGUUGGUGAGGUAACGGCUCACCAAGGCAACGAUGCGUAGCCAACCUGAGAGGGUGAUCGGCCACACUGGGACUGAAACACGGCCCAAACUCCUACGGGAGGCAGCAGUAGGGAAUCUUCCGCAAUGGACGAAAGUCUGACGGAGCAACGCCGCGUGAGUGAUGAAGGUUUUCGGAUCGUAAAACUCUGUUGUUAGGGAAGAACAAGUACCGUUCGAAUAGGGCGGUACCUUGACGGUACCUAACCAAAAAGCCACGGCUAACUACGUGCCAGCAGCCGCGGUAAUACGUAGGUGGCAAGCGUUGUCCGGAAUUAUUGGGCGUAAAGCGCGCGCAGGCGGUUUCUUAAGUCUGAUGUGAAAGCCCCCGGCUCAACCGGGGAGGGUCAUUGGAAACUGGGGAACUUGAGUGCAGAAAAGGAAAGUGGAAUUCCACGUGUAGCGGUGAAAUGCGUAGAGAUGUGGAGGAACACCAGUGGCGAAGGCAACUCUCUGGUCGUAACUGACGCUGAGGCGCGAAAGCGUGGGGAGCGAACAGGAUUAGAUACCCUGGUAGUCCACGCCGUAACGAUGAGUGCUAGUGUUAGAGGGUUUCCGCCUUUAGUGCUGCAGCAACGCAUUAGCACUCCGCCUGGGGAGUACGGUCGCAGACUGAAACUCAAGGAAUUGACGGGGCCCGCACAGCGGUGGAGCAUGUGGUUAAUUCGAACCACGCGAAAACCUUACAGGUCUUGACUCCUCUGACACCCUAAAAA
rnacentral:rRNA from 1 species